GAUGAACGCUGGCGGCAGGCUUAACACAUGCAAGUCGAACGCCCCGCAAGGGGAGUGGCAGACGGGUGAGUAACACGUGGGAACGUACCCUUUGGUUCGGAAUAACUUGGGGAAACUCAAGCUAAUACCGGAUAAGCCCUUAUGGGGAAAGGUUUACUGCCGAAGGAUCGGCCCGCGUCUGAUUAGCUAGUUGGUGAGGUAAUGGCUCACCAAGGCGACGAUCAGUAGCUGGUCUGAGAGGAUGAUCAGCCACACUGGGACUGAGACACGGCCCAGACUCCUACGGGAGGCAGCAGUGGGGAAUAUUGGACAAUGGGGGCAACCCUGAUCCAGCCAUGCCGCGUGAGUGAUGAAGGCCUUAGGGUUGUAAAGCUCUUUUACCCGGGACGAUAAUGACUGUACCGGGAGAAUAAGCCCCGGCUAACUUCGUGCCAGCCGCCGCAGUAA
rnacentral:rRNA from 1 species